UAUGUAUAUAGCUGCUUUUUCCCUGCAAGCGGUGACAGGAUAUCUUGAUCCAGUCUCACAAAAUCUGUGGGAAGGCUCCUUGUGGCUGAUUGAAGUGCUUCAAAGCUGGAAACACGUCUAAGAUUAGCUCUGUCUUUCCUUUGAGAAGAAACACCCUGGAUGGCUGUAAAUAUAUCUGGUGUAAACACAUACACACCACAAUUUAUCAAGUCACUUACAAAAGUUUCAGGUUUCUCUGUGUAAUGCAACAAUUCUUUGGUGUCUGGAUCAGCUACCAAUUCACCAAACUGGCUGGCUGACUCAGCAGAAACCUUGAUUACUAGAAUGGUUCCCAUCCCACCAUAUCUUCUAUGAGCCUCAAGCAUUUCUGGGAGUGGAAAACUGCAGCAAACAUCACAAUUCAACAAGAAGAUAUGAGACGGACUGUCUUCCAUGAUUAGAUCUCUGAAGUUAUAAAGCCCACCAGCUGAUCCAUGAGGCUUGUCUUCCCUCAAAUAUCUCACAGGAACUUUAAGCUCAUUUGAGAUUGAUGAAACAUACAAUGCGAAUUCCCGUUCUUCAUAGAAACCAACAAGAUAGAUCUGCGUUAGGUUUGGAAUCCUUUUGCAAGCAGAUAUUGGAUGGUGAACCAUCGGUUUUCCUGCUAAAGGAAAAAGAGGCUUGGCGACAUGCAAUGACAAUGGCCGAAAUCUAGUCCCUUUAGUGGGUCCACCGACCAUAAUCACAGCUACAACCUUCUCUCCAGAGGUGCCCAUCUCAAAUCAACACAAACCCAGAUCUUCGAUUCCCCAAAUUACGAAUAAAGACUCUUUAUUUAUGAAUAACAGAGGCUCAAAUCUUUAAAGCACUGAAGUGGUAACUACCGCCCAAUCGUACAAAAAAUAAUUUCACACCAUCCAAACCACUAUUCAUAGGAGCCAAGAGAGCUAACUUUAGACCCAAAUAUCUGCACUUUUUGGCUAGUAGCUUACAAUCCGCGUGAGAGAGAGAGAGAGAGAGAGAGAGUUGUUGAAACGAAUGAUAUAAUAGAUACGAGGAUAUUGACGAUCUAGUAAAGGUGUCGGUUAGUGAAAGAAAGGAAAUUGUAUUGCAGAUACGAAGACCAGAAGCCUCUCGAUGGCGAUAAAUACGCUGAUACAGCGAGUUAAUUAUUUUGAGAAGAGAAGUUUCUAUGUUAUUUCCAGUGGAUCCUUACUCUUAUGGCUGUUUUCGUUAUGUUAGGAGAGAGAUCAGCAUCAGUUGGACCUUUUGGCGGGACCCG
rnacentral:misc_RNA from 1 species